UCUAAUGUAAAUAUAUAAAUAUUUUCCUUUCAGUGAUGGUAGCAUGGUAGCAAGUAGCAGGUAGCAUAUACCGUGCCUGCAUUUCCACUACUUUUCUAUUCAUUUCCACAUUUACUAUUUAUUUACUGUAUGGAUGCCAUGCUGCUUCAAUGAAUGUCAAUGACUAUCUCUAAAGAAAGGCCAGCAUACAAUAUAAAGUAAACCAGAGAUGGGACCAAGUAAUUAAUUUGCAAGUCACAAGUAAGUCUCGGGUCUUUCCAAUUAAGUCCAAGACAGGUUGCAAGUUAAGACAAAUUUGAUCAAGUCAAGCAAGUCCAAGUCAUAGCCAGCAAGGCUUGACAUUAACAUUUUUUCACUUGCUGGCCAUUGUGGCUAGUGGUUUUUCCAAGUCACUAGCCAUACAGCUAUUCUACUAGCCACAAAAUUGAUAUUGUUUCUUUUUUUAUUUAUCAUGACUCUUUCUAACUUCAGAAGAUGAGGUGUUCAAGCAAGAAGGUGAGCUCACAGCUUUCUACAUGGAAAUAAGUCAUACAAAUAGAAACUGAGUAACUAAGCGUUUUCUGAAAAUUCUACAAACAAUUGAUACACAAUACAGGGGGGGGGGAAAGUGCAGUAUAUUGCAGGCUAUUCUGAUAUGUCAUACCAUAGAAUAAGCUACUUGCCAAAUUGGCUAGUGACACUAAAAUUGCUACCAGCCACAGCCAAGUUUUACCAGCAUUUGGCCGGUUGGCAGGUGGCAGUGUCAAGCCCUGGGAGGCUAAAUGAAAUCCGAGUCUCAUUUUUUCCAAGUCCUUAACAAGUCACCAUGUAUUUUACGUGCAAUCUUGACUUCUUCCGUUGAUCAUUAAUUCAUUACCUCUCCAUGCUGCUGUGCGGAUCCUCCUGUGCUUGUCGCUCUGGGUAAAAGUAUCUUAAUGCUUUUUCUCUUGUUGUUCUGUUUUUGCUUGGUUUUUAUCUCAUUGUACAGCACAUUGAAUUGCUUCCAUGUAUGAAAUGCACUAUAGAAAUAAAUUGCCUUGCCUUGCCUUGCCUUGCCUUAAUGCGUUUACACUGUAAUGUAAUUUCAAUGAUCCAUAGUGUCAGCACAACAAGUAGCCUAACUACUAAAUGGCUGUUCUUCUCCAUUUUAAAUUGUUGUAGAACCUGUGCCCAAGAUGAAUAAAGACGCUCAUGAUGACAGAUGACUGAGCUUGUUGACCUGGGACUCAGCAAUGUCAGCACGCUCUGCAGCCUCCUCAAGUUCAUGCGCCACCUUCCUGAACCUGGACAGGUAAGCACGGCAGAGCGCCUGAGUCAUUGUGACCAGAACUGCCAACUUCUCAUCUCGCAUCUCUUCAAGGACACCCAGCAGACCAGCU